GGAGAUGGGGAGCUUCUCUCUAAAUCUGAGAUAUAACGAGUUAGAAUGACACCUGGCUGGCACGGGACUAUAACCAUACCGACCAAUACUGGGAGAUGGGGAGCUUUUCUCUAGAUCUGAGAUAUGAGUUAGAAUGACACCUGGCUGGCAUGGGACUAUAACCAUACCGACCAAUACUGGGAGAUGGGGAGCUUCUCUCUAAAUCUGAG